CCCCCAUUGCAAAUAGGCCCACAGGAGUGACAGCAGUGACAGGAAUAAUCUCUUUCCUGUCACAGACUGCCAGCGCCCAUGCUCUCUCCCGUGCAUCUCCUCCUCUGGCUCCAGCACUCACCUGAGAUCCGUGCAGGCAGUGUGGUAGCCGCCCCUCCCCUCCAGUCUCUCCUUCACUCAGGGCCCUGAGCCUGUCACUUACAGGCCCAAGCUCCGCCCCCAGACUGUACGGGGAGCUGCUGCUGAUGCAGGAAGCCUGAUGUACCCUGUCGCUAGGCAACGGACGGCGCGGAGGUGAUCAUGUCAUAGCCGGCGGACGGAGACGUGGCGCUCGACUCACCGUGUGCUGGUGGCAGUAAUUCCUACUUACUUAAGGCCAUGCUUGGCAUGCAUGCAGCUGAUUUUGAUGACAUACAUCAUAGGAUAGGGAAGGAAUUUCCUGUGUGUCAUUGAAUUCCUGUUUCCUGGCAGAGAAUCCUUUAUGGUUUCUCCCGGCGCACUGUGGAGUGGGGAAUACAAAGAUGGAAUGUUUACUACACAGCCUUGGAAAGCUAACAAUAUUUCAUAGAAAAUAAUUUUGUUAGGCAAGUUUGCAGUCUCGAAAAUAUGUACCAUACAGAACAAUAAAAGUGUAAGCCGAGUUAAUGUCA